UACGGAGGGUGCAAGCGUUAUCCGGAUUCACUGGGUUUAAAGGGUGCGUAGGCGGGUAUGUAAGUCAGUGGUGAAAUCUCGAAGCUUAACUUCGAAACUGCCAUUGAUACUAUAUAUCUUGAAUAUUGUGGAGGUUUGCGGAAUAUGUCAUGUAGCGGUGAAAUGCUUAGAUAUGACAUAGAACACCAAUUGCGAAGGCAGCUGGCUACACAUAUAUUGACACUGAGGCACGAAAGCGUGGGGAUCAAACAGG
rnacentral:rRNA from 1 species